rnacentral:rRNA from 1 species
AGCAGCCGCGGUAAUUCCAGCUCCAAUAGCGUAUAUUAAAGUUGUUGCAGUUAAAAAGCUCGUAGUUGAAUUUCGGGAUUUGUCAGUUGGUCGGGCUUCACUGUCCGUAUUGACUUGAUGGAUUCUUACCUUCUGAAUAACCAGCAUGCUAUUAAGUUAGUGCGUUGGGGAAGCAGAUCUAUUACCUUGAAAAAAUUAGAGUGCUUAAAGCGAGCUAGUGCUUGAAUAGAUUAGCAUGGAAUAAUAAAAUAGGACGGCAUGGUUCUAUUUUGUUGGUUUCUAGGAUCACCGUAAUGAUUAAUAGGGAUAGUUGGGGGCAUUAGUAUUCAAUUGUCAGAGGUGAAAUUCUUGGAUUUAUUGAGACUAACUUCUGCGAAAGCAUUUGCCAAGGAUGUUUUCAUUAAUCAAGAACGAAAGUUAGGGGAUCGAAGACGAUCAGAUACCGUCGUAGUCUUAACCAUAAACUAUGCCGACUAGGAAUCGGACGAUGUAAUUUUAUAAUGACUCGUUC